CAAGUCGAACGAGGUGUUUUGUAGCAAUACGAGGGUAUCCUAGUGGCGAACGGGUGAGUAACGCGUUGGUGACCUGCCCCAAAGUGUGGGAUAACAGUUCGAAAGGACUGCUAAUACCGCAUGUGGUCAUCGGAUUUAGAAACCGAUGUCUAAAGCAGUAAUGCGCUUUGGGAGGGACCUGCGUCCCAUCAGCUAGUUGGUGAGGUAACGGCCCACCAAGGCGACGACGGGUAGGGGACCUGAGAGGGUGACCCCCCACAAUGGAACUGAAACACGGUCCAUACACCUACGGGUGGCAGCAGUAGGGAAUAUUGCACAAUGGGCGAAAGCCUGAUGCAGCAACGCCGCGUGCACGAUGAAGGUCUUCGGAUCGUAAAGUGCUUUUCUGAGAGAUGAGAAAGGACAGUAUCUCAGGAAUAAGUCUCGGCUAACUACGUGCCAGCAGCCGCGGU
rnacentral:rRNA from 1 species